AAAAACCCUCCCACCCUUGUGUAUUAUUACUUUGUUGCUUUGGCGAGCUGCCUUCGGGCCUUGUAUGCUCGCCAGAGAAUACCAAAACUCUUUUUAUUAAUGUCGUCUGAGUACUAUAUAAUAGUUAAAACUUUCAACAACGGAUCUCUUGGUUCUGGCAUCGAUGAAGAACGCAGCGAAAUGCGAUAAGUAAUGUGAAUUGCAGAAUUCAGUGAAUCAUCGAAUCUUUGAACGCACAUUGCGCCCCUUGGUAUUCCGGGGGGCAUGCCUGUUCGAGCGUCAUUUCAACCCUCAAGCUUAGCUUGGUAUUGAGUCUAUGUCAGUAAUGGCAGGCUCUAAAAUCAGUGGCGGCGCCGCUGGGUCCUGAACGUAGUAAUAUCUCUCGUUACAGGUUCUCGGUGUGCUUCUGCCAAAACCCAAAUUUUUCUAUGGUUGACCUCGGAUCAGGUAGGGAUACCCGCUGAACUUAAGCAUAUCAUAGCGGGAAGGAAAAGAC
rnacentral:rRNA from 1 species